rnacentral:sRNA from 1 species
AUUGAUAGAGCCUGUGGAAAACACUUUACGACUGUGUAACUGUCUACAUCUUUACAGAGGAAUAGUCUACAAAGGAAGACUUGUAACCUGGAGAAGAGACCUGUCAUUUACUCCAUCCUUUAUAGUGAUGCUACAGGACGAAGAGGAAUGGAUAAAAACAUUGGCGAGCAACUCAAUAAAGCAUAUGAAGCCUUCCGGCAGGCAUGCAUGGAUAGAGAUUCUGCAGUAAAAGAAUUACAGCAAAAGGUGUGUGGUUCUGGUUUUGAAAGUUAUUCUUUAUCUUGGUACAUGGAAUUUUAGAGCCUUUUGCAUCUGAAAAAUGUUAUAUUGUUAGAAAUUGCCCUGAAGAACUAUAAUUACAGAAAUGCAGGUAUAUAUUAAUGGAUGAAAUUUGAAGUUCUUGUUUGUUGUUUAAAAAAUAUUGCAACCCAUAGGAAGAGUUGAUUUGAUGGGCUCCUUUUCAGGUGAUUGUGAAAGAUUGUGAAUGUUGUCUUCCAUAAAUAAUUUUAAAAUAUCAGUAUUUAUAAAUAAGGAAGAAAUAACUAUAAAAACAGUUUUAUGACACA